rnacentral:misc_RNA from 1 species
AAAAAAAAAAACCCUUUUUUUUCUGCCUUUAGAGGAAUAUAAAAGACCAGGUCUGCAUUUUUUUUAUUCGGACCAAAAAUGGUCAAUGAUCCGGCUUCGAAAACCACAAGUUAAACGCUUAGGAUACUCAUAAACAAAUUGAAAACACUUGAACGAGGAAGCCAAGAAAAGAUAAGCCCACAGAUCUGGUUUUCCUCUGAUUAAACAACUAUUUAAGCUCUUCAAGUAUAUUCUCUGACCAAUGAUGAAGCUUGCAGUUCUAUACUUAUUUAUCUAUAUCAAAGAAAAAGAUAUUGAAAAAGGAAAAAUCAAGACAAUUUGUCUAGCGCUUACUUGAGCAUUAAAGAUGAAUCUAUUAGUGCCAUUCCACUUGUCCAAAUCAUAAGCAGUAAAAUGCUUGCAACAAGCUGAAGCUUGAAGAUGUCCUUUAAGCUUU